rnacentral:rRNA from 1 species
GGCUGUAACUAUAACGGUCCUAAGGUAGCAAAUUUCCUUGUCGUCUUAAUAACGACCUGCAUGAAACAUAGAACGAUUCGAUAGCUGUCUUGCACACACAUCAUGGUAAAAUAUUCAUCAGUACAAAUAAUCUGCUGCCUCAGUAAGCAUCUAACUAAAGGACAAAAAGACCCUUUGAAGCUUUAUAGGGAUAAAACUUUAAUUGGGGCGAUAACCUUAUAUAAUCCACCUAAGGUGAACAAAGUGAUACAAGGACCCGACAAGUAAUUUGCCCAACUAAUAAGUGCAAAGAUACAUGUUUUGCUUAAUGGUCCAAUAAGUCUUUCCCAGUACUUAAAUGCUAUCUUAAUGAGCUUUAAAUUAAUCUACCAACACCAAGCUACUCUACGGAUAACAGGCUUAAUUUCCGCAAUACUCAAGGUCACAUUAUCAAGAAAAAUGCACCUCGAUGUCGGCUUAUCAUCACCAAAAUAAGUAGUUAGGUUAUUGGUGGGAGUGCUCAUCCCGUAAAUCGGUACGUGAGCUGGGUUCAAUACGAUGG